GAAUUUCUAGUGUUUGAACUUCCAAACAGAAGAUGAAGUUCAAGCUCAAUUUCAAGAUAAAUCUUUAGAAAUUCUAUGGUAGUGGGGGUUUGAAUCAGUCUAGAAAAGCUUGGGCAAGUUGUUGAUGUUGAUUCUGAAGCCUUGAGCUUGUUUAAAUAGGCAAUGGAUUUGAUUUUUGCACCACUUGAAUUUUGGCCAAAUUUGGAAACCUUCUUGCAUGGGUGCAUGGGAAAUAGUUUAGGCCUAAGGAAUGAUGUAAUCCACUUCCAAUCCAUGUGCAAAGUGUACUGAAUUAGUCAUGUGGAAGCAUGCAAAGAAG
rnacentral:lncRNA from 1 species